GGUUACUGCUAUCGGUGUUCGCUUAAGCCAUGCGAGUCAUAUGUUCUUCGGAACAUGGCGUACUGCUCAGUAACACGUGGAUAACCUGCCCUUGGGUCCGGCAUAACCCCGGGAAACUGGGGAUAAUUCCGGAUAACGCAUAUAUGCUGGAAUGCUUUCUGCGUAAAAUGGAUUCGUCUGCCCAAGGAUGGGUCUGCGGCCUAUCAGGUAGUAGUGGGUGUAAUGUACCUACUAGCCUACGACGGGUACGGGUUGUGAGAGCAAGAGCCCGGAGAUGGAUUCUGAGACAUGAAUCCAGGCCCUUCGGGGCGCAGCAGGCGCGAAAACUUUACAAUGCGGGAAACCGUGAUAAGGGGACACCGAGUGCCAGCAUCCUAUGCUGGCUGUCCGGGUGUGUAAAAUACACCUGUCAGCAAGGGCCGGGCAAGACCGGUGCCAGCCGCCGCGGUAACACCGGCGGCCCGAGUGGUGAUCGUGAUUAUUGGGUCUAAAGGGUCCGUAGCCGGUUUGGUCAGUCCUCCGGGAAAUCUGACAGCUCAACUGUUAGGCUUUCGGAGGAUACUGCCAGACUUGGAACCGGGAGAGGUAAGAGGUACUACAGGGGUAGGAGUGAAAUCUUGUAAUCCCUGUGGGACCACCUGUGGCGAAGGCGUCUUACCAGAACGGGUUCGACGGUGAGGGACGAAAGCUGGGGGCACGAACCGGAUUAGAUACCCGGGUAGUCCCAGCCGUAAACGAUGCUCGCUAGGUGUCAGGCAUGGCGCGACCGUGUCUGGUGCCGCAGGGAAGCCGUGAAGCGAGCCACCUGGGAAGUACGGCCGCAAGGCUGAAACUUAA
rnacentral:rRNA from 1 species